UACGUAGGGGGCAAGCGUUGUCCGGAUUUAUUGGGCGUAAAGAGCGUGUAGGCGGCCAUGUAGGUCCGUUGUGAAAACUCGAGGCUCAACCUCGAGACGCCGAUGGAAACCAUGUGGCUAGAGUCCGGAAGAGGAGAGUGGAAUUCCUGGUGUAGCGGUGAAAUGCGCAGAUAUCAGGAAGAACACCAGUGGCGAAGGCGGGUCUCUGGACAGUUCCUGACGCUGAGGCACGAAGGCCAGGGGAGCAAACGGG
rnacentral:rRNA from 1 species